rnacentral:lncRNA from 1 species
UUACUUACUCCAUAUAAAUUGAUUCUAGAGUUGGUAGUAAAUAUGUAUGAAUAACAAAUUUUUUCGCGUUGCUUUCUUGACUUGUUAUAUUAGUACUAUUUGAAUAAAUUCUAAUCUUUAUAUUUUUUUUUUGGAUGCAUGCGACACCCGCUUGAGUCCAACUGGACUCCAUCGCCCUUGCAUUUCCUCAAGACCAAAGUCCCAAAAAUGGACUAAGAAACAAGUAUACAAGCUGGCACAUGCUGAUAUACAGCGUGUAUACAUGAAGAACAGUAGAUGCUCACUAUCCUAUGGUGUAUGAAAAAAAUAGGGAGGAAAUAUGUUGACUUGCUCACUGAUAUACAGUGUAUACAUGGAGUUAUACAUGAAAACGCAACAGCUAUAGGGAUGAUAUACAGUUAGUAUACAGCUGCAGAAAAAUGGAUCAAAGUCCAUAAAGAAUAGGCCCAAAGUUGGCCAGAUUUGAAAUGGGCCAAACAGGGGCCCAAAUCUCAAACUUCAUUUUCUUUCUUGCACUCAAUUUAUGUUGAUUGUAAUCAAUAUAUAU